rnacentral:lncRNA from 1 species
GGCAGCGACGAAUGCCCCACUCCACACUGAAGUCCCGGCAAAGGCAGGGGUCCUGCCAGCCAACCUGAGAAAGUCCCUCCAGGGCACGCUUCCUGCCUGAGAAGCUGGAUGUCAUCCCAACUGUGAGAGCCAUCUGUCCCCUCAGCUGUGACCUGGGGAUGGGGGCAGAGCAGAUGAACCAUGUUGGGGAAAUAGAAAUCAAGACCUAAAGGAACACACAGACUCAUAAACACAAAAGUAGCAGAUUUUAUCAGUGAGCAGCAACAGCAAACAACAGCCCAGCCCAGGAUGUGGGGAGGUAGCCCCACAUGGCUACAAAGCUACAGUGGAUCUGCGCUCUGUUUCUAUGGAACGAAAGCUACAGUUGGCUGUUAUUCCAGCUUGUGUUGGUAGUUACAUUGACGCGGGGUGAUGUCCUGAUUUUCCUACCUCUUUUAUCAGUUCCUCCCAUGGCUGUCCUGGCAGUGCUCCUAUAGUCACAGUUUUUGACAUUCUUCAGGAGGAUUAAAUUCAGUUCAGUUCCUUGCAGUGUCCCCCCAACCCCGCAGAUAUUGCAUGACUGACAGAGCCAGGUUGCAGACCAGGAAGAGCUGGGGAAAAUCAGAGGAACAUCUUGGCCCUGGUGCCAAUUGAAGGACCGUGACUCUGCAAGGCCUUGGCUUUGAUUAUGGGAGUUGAUGGGACGCACAUAUUCCACAAGACAACCAUGCUUUUAAGAGAGUUGGAGGCCAGCCAAAUCCCAAACCUGGCCAGCCAAUGGCCAUGACGUCCAUGGCCCCGAUGUUGUUCGGUGGGGGAUUGUGACCUCACUUCUGGCUUCACUUGAGUUUAACAUGCUCCAGACUUGGACAAUCAGCCUAUUCCACCCCAUUGGCUCCAUAAUUCGUUUUGGGAAAAGUACAUCAGUCUCUAGUCCAAGAAGACUCAAUUGCAAUUUAUCCAACAAGAGUCAGUCCCAGAAGUUUUCUGGGAAGUACUGUGGAAAAGGAACUCUCCUCCUUCUGGAGUCACGGAGCUGGUGGGACGGAAGGAAGUCUGCACAGUGGGAACCCAUUAUGCCAACUAAGGGGGAGUGCCUGCCUGAGAAAAAGGUCACAGUGGAGAGCAGAGCUGAUGGAGAGAGAGAAACAGGUUCCUGAUGACACUGUUAGGUCACCUGGAUCGACCCAUGCCUGAAGCCGUGAUAUUUUGGAGCUUUUAGUUACUAAAGCAAAUACAUUCCUUUCCCUUUGAUCCAGUUUGACCUCAGUUUCAUUCUCUUGCUGCCCAAAACAUCUCCACUUAUGCAGUUACCCAAAUGACAAUUAAGUGUGUCUGGGUUCCUUGGUUGAGACAGCUAUUAUCAGCCCUGUCUGACUUAAGGAAAAAAUAAAAAAGAUAGACAUUCAUUGGAAGCCUGUGAAGGAGCUGCUGAAUUGACUGUUGCCUAGAGAACAGGCUGGAGAAGUACAGGAGCUACUCAAGGGCCAGAAGUGGCCAGGGCGCCUUCUCUUGUUGGUUUACUUGUGUCGAGCUUCAGUUCUCUGGGAGUGUAGGUGUCAGUGGGCAGCCCUAGGCUGUGUAUUGGUUUUCCGUGCUGCCAUAAAUACCAGAAACUUGGUGGCUUAACACAACUGGAAUUCAUUCUCUCACAGUGUUGGAGGCCAGAAGUCUGAGAUGAAAGCAGGGUCAGGUUGGCUCCCUCUGGAUGCUCUAGGGGAGGAUCCGCUCUUUGCCCCUUUCCCAGCUUCUGGUGGCUCCUACAACCCUGGCGUUCCUUGCCUUGUAACUGCCUCACUCCAGCCUCUGCCUCCUUCAUCAGGCAGUGUUCUCCUUUCCAUCUCUGUCUGUUCACAUGGCUUUCUGAUAAGGACACCUGCCAUAUUGGAUUGGGGCCCUCACUUCUCCAUAUGACCUCAUCCUAGCUAAGUACAUCUGCAAAGACCCCAUUUCCAAAUCAGGCCACAUUCUGAGAUUCUGGUGAGUGCGGCAUUUUGGGAUACACCCUUUCACCCAGUGCAGGCCACGCCUGUCCCUGGUUGUAUGAGACGAUGAGGAGGAUUUUCAGCAAGGGGUUCCUUAUGCUUCCAGGGCACAAGGUACUGGAUUUACCCUCUCAUCAAGUCAGGGUGGCCAUUCCUACCAAGGGUGUUCUGGAUGCUUUAGAAAGGGGAUUGGACGUUGGACCCACCGCAGGCAAUAGGGCCACCUAUCUGUACACGUCCUUUCUCUAGUGCAUGCACUUCCCAAAUAUCCCUCUCCCCAUGGCCAGAGCAUCCGAGAAUGUCCUGGCGCAUCCUUCGCCACAUAUGUCCCCAGUCCUGGGGGACAGCAUCCUCUGGGUCCUCUGUGGGGAGUGGUGAGUGGCAGAGUGGCUGCCGUGGGAGAUUCACCUGUUUUUUUCUGACGUAUUUGAGUUCUUCCCUCUACAUUCUAUGCAGCGGGCUUUCUGUCCUCUGACUUCCCUGGCCUGGGUGAGUUUCAGAUCCAUGCUAACCAGAUUCUUAGGCCACAUCCAACCCUGUGGGCCUGGCCGUGGGACGCAGGGGCUCUAUAAAUGCACGCAUAUCGACGCAUUCCAUUCGAUCUUCAAUAACGGACUCCCUCCUCUGUUAAGCGCUCCCAAAAUGUCAUUCCCACAGAAAUCACCCAGAUGUUGAACAGCAGAGUAUGAAAUUCCUGCGUUCCUCUCCAGCCACCCUGGGUCACGCAGGGAUCUGAUCCAAGGUAAGGAUGACUGUGAGGGUAGGGCGGGGGGAAUCUUGUUUCCUGUAAUGCAGCUCCCUGGAGAGGGCAGCAGCUCCCUGGAGAGGGCAGCAACUCUUCUAGGAAGGCUGGGACCGCCUCCUCAGAUCGGGGAGGACGACCUCCUUCAGGCAGAAGAAGCCCCUGGGUGGUUCUUCACGGUUUGGCUGGUUGGGGUCAGGAUCUGUCCUGUGUCUUCCGGGAAUUUCCGAAUGUCUCCUUUUCCAUGGAUGGAUGUGCAGCCUCUUACAAGGAAUGCCUGGCUCAUGGUGAGUGCUCAGAAAUGUUUGUGGAGUGAAUAACAGACCCAUGAAGCUGUGAAUUCCACAGGCGUCUGAUCUAGCCAACUGCAGAAGUGCAUCGUGAGAGUUGCUUUUCCCAAAUCAAUCAGCGCCCAGGCUACAAAAACAGGCAGAGGAGGUGGUUCUUCCAGCACUGCAUAGGAAGUCUUAGGUUUCGGCCGGGCGUGGUGGCUCACGCCUGUAGUCCUUGCACUUCAGGAGGCCGAGGCGGGUGGAUCAAGGAGUCAGGAGUUCAAGAACAGCCUGGCCAAAAUGGUGAAACCCCGUCUCUACUAAAAAUAAAAAAAAAAU